rnacentral:rRNA from 1 species
GACGAACGCUGGCGGCGUGCCUAAUACAUGCGAGUCGAACGAGAGCGACCGGUGCUUGCACUGGUCAAUCUAGUGGCGAACGGGUGAGUAACACGUGGGUAACCUGCCCAUCAGAGGGGGAUAUCAUCCGGAAACGGAUGCUAAAACCGCAUAGGUCUUCGAGCCGCAUGGCUUGAAGAGGAAAAGAGGCGCAAGCUUCUGCUGAUGGAUGGACCCGCGGUGCAUUAGCUAGUUGGUGAGGUAACGGCUCACCAAGGCCGUGAUGCAUAGCCGACCUGAGAGGGUGAUCGGCCACAUUGGGACUGAGACACGGCCCAAACUCCUACGGGAGGCAGCAGUAGGGAAUCUUCCGCAAUGGACGCAAGUCUGACGGAGCAACGCCGCGCGAGUGAAGAAGGUUUUCGGAUCGUAAAACUCUGUCGUUAGAGAAGAACAAGUGCUAGAGUAACUGUUAGCGCCUUGACGGUAUCUAACCAGAAAGCCACGGCUAACUACGUG